rnacentral:rRNA from 1 species
UCGGGAAUUUUGGGCAAUGGGCGAAAGCCUGACCCAGCAACGCCGCGUGAGGGAUGAAGUAUUUCGGUAUGUAAACCUCGAAAGAAUGGGAAGAAUAAAUGACGGUACCAUUUAUAAGCUCCGGCUAACUACGUGCCAGCAGCCGCGGUAAUCCGUAGGGAGCAAGCGUGGUUCGGAUUUACUGGGCGAAAAGGGCGCGUAGGCGGCGCGGUAAGUCACUUGUGAAAUCUCUGAGCUUAACUCAGAACGGCCAAGUGAUACUGCUGUGCUAGGGUGCGGAAGAGGCAACCGGAAUUCUUGGUGUAGCGGUGAAAUGCGUAGAUAUCAAGAGGAACACCCGAGGCGAAGGCGGGUUGCUGGGCCGACACUGACGCUGAUGCGCGAAAGCCAGGGGAACAAACG